CGAGUGAAGCGGCAAAAGCUCAAAUUUGAAAUCUAGCACUUUCAGUGUUCGAGUUGUAAUUUGAAGAAGGUAACUUUCGAGUUGGCUCUUGUCUAUGUUCCUUGGAACAGGACGUCACAGAGGGUGAGAAUCCCGUGCGAUGAGAUGCCCAAUUCUUAGUAAAGUGCUUUCGAAGAGUCGAGUUGUUUGGGAAUGCAGCUCUAAGUGGGUGGUAAAUUCCAUCUAAAGCUAAAUAUUGGCGAGAGACCGAUAGCGAACAAGUACAGUGAUGGAAAGAUGAAAAGAACUUUGAAAAGAGAGUGAAAAAGUACGUGAAAUUGUUGAAAGGGAAGGGCUUGAGAUCAGACUUGGUAUUUUGUGUGCCUUUCCUUUUUGGUUGGGUUUCUGCAGCUUACUGGGCCAGCAUCGGUUUGGGUGGUAGGAUAAUGACAUUGGAAUGUAGCUUCGCUUCGGUGAAGUGUAUAGACUUUGUUGAUACUAUCUAUCUAGACCGAGGACUGCGUCUUUGACUAGG
rnacentral:rRNA from 1 species